GUAGAAGAACUGACUCAAGCUUCAAAUGUGUUAAAGUUCCUUGUUGUACUAUCCCCGGAUUCAACUUUUCUAUUUCUUGACAUAAAGUGGUGUCAGAUGAGCUUACUAUGAGGCAAUGACAUGAAGCCUUGCGACAUAAAGCAUUGUAAUACCCAAAUUAUGAAACUUAUAAAAGAGUUGAUCUCCUUAUGUGAUUUGCCAUCUACUUCUUGAAACAUGUGACUAAACAUAAUUAAAAGAGAUUAACUCUUUACUAAAACAGCAAGAAGAAAAUGUGCAUCAUGUUGGAGUUUCAUUGUUUGUGCAUUUGAUAAAAAUAAUAACAAAAAUAAGGAUACAUUAAUAAUGAGAAGGAGGUUUGACCUAAUUUGAAGUCUAGAAAAUGAGAAAAAUAGAGAUAAAAGAAAAGCGAAUGAAAAGGAAAAAAUAGGAAACCCUAUAUAUGCUCAAACUAUGUAUUUAAUUGAGGACAUUAAAUCCACAACA
rnacentral:lncRNA from 7 species